UUCCGGUUGAUCCUGCCGGAGSCAUUGCUAUUGGGAUUCGAUUUAGCCAUGCUAGUCGCACGAGUUCAGACUCGUGGCGAAUAGCUCAGUAACACGUGGCCAAACUACCCUUCGGAGCACGAUACCCUCGGGAAACUGAGGCUAAUAGUGCAUACCACAAUCCAGCUGGAAUGAGGAUUGUGCCAAACGCUCCGGCGCCGAAGGAUGUGGCUGCGGCCGAUUAGGUAGACGGUGGGGUAACGGCCCACCGUGCCAAUAAUCGGUACGGGUCAUGAGAGUGAGAACCCGGAGACGGAAUCUGAGACAAGAUUCCGGGCCCUACGGGGCGCAGCAGGCGCGAAACCUUUACACUGCACGCCAGUGCGAUAAGGGAAUCCCAAGUGCGCAGGCAUAGAGCCUGCGCUUUUGUACACCGUAGGGAGGUGUACGAAUAAGGGCUGGGCAAGACCGGUGCCAGCCGCCGCGGUAAUACCGGCAGCCCGAGUGAUGGCCGAUCUUAUUGGGCCUAAAGCGUCCGUAGCUGGCCGCACAAGUCCAUCGGAAAAUCCACCCGCUCAACGGGUGGGCGUCCGGUGGAAACUGUGUGGCUUGGGACCGGAAGGCGCGACGGGUACGUCCGGGGGUAGGAGUGAAAUCCUGUAAUCCUGGGACGGACCGCCGAUGGCGAAAGCACGUCGCGAGGACGGAUCCGACAGUGAGGGACGAAAGCCAGGGUCUYGAACCGGAUUAGAUACCCGGGUAGUCCUGGCCGUAAACAAUGUCUKUUAGGUGUGGCUCCCACUACGGGUUGGUGCUGUGCCGUAGGGAAGCCGCUAAACAGACCGSCUUGGAAAGUACGUCCGAASGAUGAAACUUAAAGGAAUUKGSGGGGGAGAAUAAAACCGGAGGGCCUGSGUUUAU
rnacentral:rRNA from 1 species